GGGCAGGUACCCAAGCGGUCAACGGGGACUGACUGUAAAUCAGUUGACUUUAUGUCUUCAUAGGUUCGAAUCCUAUCCUGCCCACCA
rnacentral:tRNA from 1 species